UACGAGGGGGGCGAGCGUUGUUCGGAAUUAUUGGGCGUAAAGGGUGCGUAGGCGGUUCCGCAAGUCCUGUGUGAAAUCUUCGGGCUUAACUCGAAGCCUGCACGGGAAACUGCGGGGCUUGAGUGUGGGAGAGGUGAGUGGAAUUCCCGGUGUGGCGGUGAAAUGCGUAGAUAUCGGGAGGAACACCUGUGGCGAAGGCAGCCCCCUGGGCUGACACUGACGCUCAGGCACGAAAGCGUGGGGAGCAAACAGG
rnacentral:rRNA from 1 species